ACCUGCGCGGGGCCCUUAGAAUAGCCCUAAGUGGGCCCAUAAAGGGCCAUCGUAGGCUUACUUGCAGGGAAAGGUGUCAUCACUUCAACAUUUGGCAGAAUUCUGAAGCUCGAUUCCACUAAGAAGGUGACCAAAAAACUGGCUGGGGGUAUUGAGAACACGGCAACAUGGAUGACCAAUGUUGGGAACGAGCAUGGUCAGGUCCUCAACUCUGUCCUCACAACCGGCGAGGGGGCUGGACUGGAUGACCUGUGCCAAGGGAUCGUCCAACGGUACAGGGAUGCUGGUGAGCCACAGCCAGCCGCCAUCUAUGUGGAUAGAGACUGUUGCAGUGACAGAGAGGUGAGCCCAGUUCUCCAUUGGUUUCGGCCAUGGACGUCCACUGUGCGGUUGGAUGUGUUCCACUUUAUGAGGCGAUUCACCAAAGGUCUCACCACAGAACACCAUCCACUGUACAGUACGUUCUGCUCCAAAUUGUCGAGCUGCACUUUUGAGUGGGAUUACCAGGACAUCAGUAA